GUGAAUCAUCAAAUCUUUGAACGCAAAUUGCACUCUCUGGUAUUCCGGAGAGUAUGCCUGUUUGAGGGUCAGUUAAAUAAAAAUCGGUGUGGUUGCUGCCUCUCGUGGUGACGCACCGGAUUUGGGUCGUCUUGCCGUCGGUUAAGUGACCUAAUUUUGUGCAUGUUUUUUCUCGAACGUAUAAAUAUUAUUACACGUAUUU
rnacentral:misc_RNA from 1 species